rnacentral:rRNA from 1 species
AUUGAACGCUGGCGGCGUGCCUAACACAUGCAAGUCGAGCGGUAACAGGCGUAGCAAUACGUGCUGACGAGCGGCGAACGGGUGCGUAAUACAUGGGAAUCUGCCCUUUAGUGGGGAAUAACCCGGCGAAAGCCGGGCUAAUGCCGCAUACGAUCUUCGGAUGAAAGCGGGGGACCGUAAGGCCUCGCGCUGUUGGAUGAGCCCAUGUCGGAUUAGCUAGUUGGUGAGGUAACGGCUCACCAAGGCGACGAUCCGUAGCGGGUCUGAGAGGACGGCCAGCCACACUGGGACUGAGACACGGCCCAGACUCCUACGGGAGGCAGCAGUGGGGAAUAUUGGACAAUGGGGGAAACCCUGAUCCAGCGACGCCGCGUGUGUGAAGAAGGCCUGCGGGUUGUAAAGCACUUUCGGUGGGAACGAAAUGUGCCGGGCUAACACCCCGGCAAGCUGACGUUACUCAUUAAAGAAGCACCGGCUAACUCUGUGCCAGCAGCCGCGGUAACAC